CCUGCCUUGCCAGGGAGCCUGCCCCGACAUGAGGUGGGAAGCAGGGUAGGAGUGAGGCUUCUCAAUGUAGUGGUUGCCCUGACCCAGCUGUCCUGUCUCAGGAGAGAGUGACCGAGCAUGUCCAGUAGAUUCCAGCUGCUCAGACUGGAGCAAAGCCAAGAAAACCCAGCUUCUCAUUUCUUCUUGGUUGUAAGAGAAUGGAAGGACAUUAUUGUUAAAGAGAAACUUGAGAGGGGCUACAAACAUCCAGAGCCACCUCCCUCUCGCCCUCACCAGCAAGUUGGUACACAGACUUCUCACAUGCUUCAAUUCAGGCUCCAGAUUCUCUGGUCUCUGAGAGACAAAAGGAAUUUCAGUGCAUUCCAUGCGCCUAACAUCUUCCCACAGCAAGAGGAGAGGUACUUUUUUUUUUUUUUAAAAUCUUUGUUUCUUCUUCAGUGUAUCUUGAGCCAGAGUACCAGUGAGGAGAAUAGAGGUAAAAACUCAUAGCAAAGAGCCAUGUUUAUACUUGCCAUAACACCCUGCCCU
rnacentral:lncRNA from 1 species